GACGAACGCUGGCGGCGUGCUUAGCACAUGCAAGUCGAACGGAAAGGCCCUGCUUUUGUGGGGUGCUCGAGUGGCGAACGGGUGAGUAACACGUGAGUAACCUGCCCUUGACUUUGGGAUAACUUCAGGAAACUGGGGCUAAUACCGGAUAGGAGCUCCUGCUGCAUGGUGGGGGUUGGAAAGUUUCGGCGGUUGGGGAUGGACUGGCGGCUUAUCAGCUUGUUGGUGGGGUAGUGGCUUACCAAGGCUUUGACGGGUAGCCGGCCUGAGAGGGUGACCGGCCACAUUGGGACUGAGAUACGGCCCAGACUCCUACGGGAGGCAGCAGUGGGGAAUAUUGCACAAUGGGCGGAAGCCUGAUGCAGCAACGCCGCGUGCGGGAUGACGGCCUUCGGGUUGUAAACCGCUUUCGCCUGUGACGAAGCGUGAGUGACGGUAAUGGGUAAAGAAGCACCGGCUAACUACGUG
rnacentral:rRNA from 1 species